AACGAACGCUGGCGGCAUGCCUAACACAUGCAAGUCGAACGAGACCUUCGGGUCUAGUGGCGCACGGGUGCGUAACGCGUGGGAACCUGCCCUUAGGUUCGGAAUAACUCCCCGAAAGGGGUGCUAAUACCGGAUAAUGUCUUCGGACCAAAGAUUUAUCGCCUUUGGAUGGGCCCGCGUUGGAUUAGCUAGUUGGUAGGGUAAAAGCCUACCAAGGCGACGAUCCAUAGCUGGUCUGAGAGGAUGAUCAGCCACACUGAGACUGAGACACGGCCCAGACUCCUACGGGAGGCAGCAGUGGGGAAUAUUGGACAAUGGGCGAAGGCCUGAUCCAGCAAUGCCGCGUGAGUGAUGAAGGCCUUAGGGUUGUAAAGCUCUUUUACCCGGGAUGAUAAUGACAGUACCGGGAGAAUAAGCUCCGGCUAACUCCGUG
rnacentral:rRNA from 1 species